GGGAAUCGGUGCUAUUGGAGAUGCCCUUGGCGGUCUCUUUGGAAAGCGCGACUUGGAUCUUGCCGAAUUUGAAGCUCGUAUUGCCCCAGUUGUCGUCGCUGUCGGUGCCGGAGUUGCCGCUAACGUCAUCGCCCCAAUCCUAAACCAGGGCAUCGGUGCUAUUGGAGAUGCCCUUGGCGGUCUCUUUGGAAAGCGUGACCUGGAUCUUGCUGAAUUCGAAGCUCGUAUUGCUCCAGUUGUCGUCGCCGUCGGUGCCGGUGUAGCUACCCAGCUCAUUUCCCCA